UAACAGAGUGUUGUGGCGCUGUGUGCAC
rnacentral:piRNA from 1 species